AGAGUUUGAUCCUGGCUCAGGACGAACGCUGGCGGCGUGCCUAACACAUGCAAGUCGAGCGGAGACAGUGAGUAGCUUGCUAUGAGCUGUUUUAGCGGCGGACGGGUGAGUAACGCGUGAGCAACCUUUCCCAGACAGGGGAAUAACACACCGAAAGGUGUACUAAUACCGCAUAAGACCACGGGAUCACAUGGUUCUGGGGUAAAAGAAUUAUCGGUUUGGGGUGGGCUCGCGUCCGAUUAGGUAGUUGGUGAGGUAACGGCCCACCAAGCCGACGAUCGGUAGCCGACCUGAGAGGGUGAUCGGCCACAUUGGGACUGAGACACGGCCCAAACUCCUACGGGAGGCAGCAGUGGGGAAUAUUGGGCAAUGGAGGAAACUCUGACCCAGCAACGCCGCGUGGAGGAAGAAGGUUUUCGGAUCGUAAACUCCUGUCCUUGGAGACGAGUAGAAGACGGUAUCCAAGGAGGAAGCCCCGGCUAACUACGUGCCAGCAGCCGCGGUAAUACGUAGGGGGCAAGCGUUGUCCGGAAUAAUUGGGCGUAAAGGGCGCGUAGGCGGCUCGGUAAGUCUGGAGUGAAAGUCCUGCUUUUAAGGUGGGAAUUGCUUUGGAUACUGUCGGGCUUGAGUGCAGGAGAGGUUAGUGGAAUUCCCAGUGUAGCGGUGAAAUGCGUAGAGAUUGGGAGGAACACCAGUGGCGAAGGCGACUAACUGGACUGUAACUGACGCUGAGGCGCGAAAGUGUGGGGAGCAAACAGGAUUAGAUACCCUGGUAGUCCACACUGUAAACGAUGAAUGCUAGGUGUAGGGGGUAUCGACCCCUUCUGUGCCGCAGUCAACACAAUAAGCAUUCCGCCUGGGGAGUACGGCCGCAAGGUUGAAACUCAAAGGAAUUGACGGGGGCCCGCACAAGCAGCGGAGCAUGUGGUUUAAUUCGACGCAACGCGAAGAACCUUACCAGGUCUUGACAUCCACUUAAACUUACAGAGAUGUAAGGUGUGCUUGCACAAAGUGAGACAGGUGGUGCAUGGUUGUCGUCAGCUCGUGUCGUGAGAUGUUGGGUUAAGUCCCGCAACGGGUGAGGACUCUGAAGAGACUGCCGGGGACAACUCGGAGGAAGGUGGGGACGACGUCAAAUCAUCAUGCCCCUUAUGACCUGGGCUACACACGUGCUACAAUGGCCACGACAGAGAGAAGCGAAAUCGUAAGGUAGAGCGGAACUCAAAAAAGUGGUCCCAGUUCGGAUUGUGGGCUGCAACCCGCCCACAUGAAGUCGGAGUUGCUAGUAAUCGCGGAUCAGCAUGCCGCGGUGAAUACGUUCCCGGGCCUUGUACACACCGCCCGUCACACCAUGGGAGUUGGGAGUGCCCAAAGCCGGUGAGGCAACCGCAAGGAGCCAGCCGUCUAAGGCAAGACCAAUGACUGGGGUGAAGUCGUAACAAGGUAGCCGUAUCGGAAGGUGCGGCUG
rnacentral:rRNA from 1 species